UACGUAGGGGGCUAGCGUUGUCCGGAUUUAUUGGGCGUAAAGAGCGUGUAGGCGGCCAGGUAGGUCUGCUGUGAAAACUCGAGGCUCAACCUCGAGACGUCGGCGGAAACCAUCUGGCUAGAGUCCGGAAGAGGAGAGUGGAAAUUCCUGGUGUAGCGGUGAAAUGCGCAGAUAUCAGGAAGAACACCCGUGGCGAAGGCGGCUCUCUGGGACGGUACUGACGCUGAGACGCGAAAGCCAGGGGAGCAAACGGG
rnacentral:rRNA from 1 species